rnacentral:rRNA from 1 species
UACGGAAGGGGCGAGCGUUGUUCGGAAUUACUGGGCGUAAAGGGCUCGUAGGCGGCCAACUAAGUCGGAUGUGAAAUCCCCAGGCUUAACCUGGGAACUGCAUCCGAUACUGGAUGGCUUGAAUCCGGGAGAGGGAUGCAGAAUUCCAGGUGUAGCGGUGAAAUGCGUAGAUAUCUGGAGGAAUACCGGUGGCGAAGGCGGCAUCCUGGACCGGCAUUGACGCUGAUGAGCGAAAGCUAGGGGAGCAAACGGG